GACGAACGCUGGCGGCGUGCUUAACACAUGCAAGUCGAACGGAAAGGCCCUGCUUUUGUGGGGUGCUCGAGUGGCGAACGGGUGAGUAACACGUGAGUAACCUGCCCUUGACUUUGGGAUAACUUCAGGAAACUGGGGCUAAUACCGGAUAGGAGCUCCUGCUGCAUGGUGGGGGUUGGAAAGUUUCGGCGGUUGGGGAUGGACUCGCGGCUUAUCAGCUUGUUGGUGGGGUAGUGGCUUACCAAGGCUUUGACGGGUAGCCGGCCUGAGAGGGUGACCGGCCACAUUGUGACUGAGAUACGGCCCAGACUCCUACGGGAGGCAUCAGUGGGGAAUAUGGCACAAUGGGCGGAAGCCUGAUGCAGCAACGCCGCGUGCGGGAUGACGGCCUUCUGGUUGUAAACCGCUUUCGCCUGUGACGAAGCGUGAGUGACGGUAAUGGGUAAAGAAGCACCGGCUAACUACGUG
rnacentral:rRNA from 1 species